rnacentral:tmRNA from 1 species
GGGGACGAAAGGAUUUCGACGGGGGUCUUGAAGCGUUGGAAGCGAGCAGCGGUGCGGACCCGCUCUAAAAGCCGCAGUUUAGAAAUAAACGACAACGAAACACAACUUUUAGCUGCUUAACCCUAACGGGUUAACAGCCGUCCUUCCCGGGAAUACCGCAGCUCGGAGCGGGAUGUCAUUGAGCGGUGCACGUGCAUGAGCGGGACGCCUUGCCCCUCAUCAUGAAGAUACACGGCUACCGCAGCGCACAGCCUGCCCGCCGGCGGUGCGUGAGGGGAAUCUGAAAAAACGGGCUACGCUCGAAGAAACCGGCGCGGAUGGGCUUCCGGACGCGGCUUCGAUUGCCGCCGUCUCCACCA